rnacentral:lncRNA from 1 species
UUGGUGUGACGGUCCAAAUAUAAUUAAAUGCUAAAGUGACACUAUUUUAUCAUAUAUGUCAUGUCAGCAAAUAUUUUUUUUAUGCAAAGAGUUGGAUUCCACUUUAUUUAUUAAAUGUUCACGAAAAACAACAAAUAUUAAACAACAAAAAAACCAAUAAACAUUAAACAACAAAAGCAAAAAAAGAGAAAAUCAAAACUAAAAACAAAAC